rnacentral:misc_RNA from 1 species
ACAAGUACUCUCAUCACUGACAUCACUGCCUGUGCUCCCUCUGUUCACACUGCUUUUCCCACUCUCAACAAAAUCAACUUGUCCACUAACUUUGGCGCUUCCACUAGUCUUUGCAAGACUGCUGGUCCCAUCACUAACCUUAGCAGAACUAGGGCCAAUUUCAUUCUGUAAAUUUUUACUUUCUUGAUCAGCACUAUUCUCUGGUGAGUCCCUAGCCUCACUCACUUCAGGAUUGGCACAAGUUGGCCCUUGCUUUGGAUAAACAAAGGCCAAACCUGAAGAUACCUCAUCAACCAAAGAAUUGACAUUUUCUGAUUUAUGAGAAAUCAGUGAUUUCUUGUCCUCUGUUGUCACUACAGAAACCUGUUUUGAUGCAACUUGUGCACUUUGAGGUGGUUU